rnacentral:rRNA from 1 species
CUUGGUCAUUUAGAGGAAGUAAAAGUCGUAACAAGGUCUCCGUUGGUGAACCAGCGGAGGGAUCAUUACCGAGUUUACAACUCCCAAACCCAAUGUGAACGUUACCAAACUGUUGCCUCGGCGGGGUCACGCCCCGGGUGCGUCGCAGCCCCGGAACCAGGCGCCCGCCGGAGGAACCAACCAAACUCUUUCUGUAGUCCCCUCGCGGACGUAUUUCUUUACAGCUCUGAGCAAAAAUUCAAAAUGAAUCAAAACUUUCAACAACGGAUCUCUUGGUUCUGGCAUCGAUGAAGAACGCAGCGAAAUGCGAUAAGUAAUGUGAAUUGCAGAAUUCAGUGAAUCAUCGAAUCUUUGAACGCACAUUGCGCCCGCCAGUAUUCUGGCGGGCAUGCCUGUCCGAGCGUCAUUUCAACCCUCGAACCCCUCCGGGGGAUCGGCGUUGGGGAUCGGGACCCCCCACACGGGUGCCGGCCCCUAAAUACAGUGGCGGUCUCGCCGCAGCCUCUCCUGCGCAGUAGUUUGCACAACUCGCACCGGGAGCGCGGCGCGUCCACGUCCGUAAAACACCCAACUUUCUGAAAUGUUGACCUCGGAUCAGGUAGGAAUACCCGCUGAACUUAAGCAUAUCAAUAAGCGGAGGA